rnacentral:rRNA from 1 species
CCUACGGGAGGCUGCAGUAGGGAAUAUUGCUCAAUGGGGGAGACCCUGAAGCAGCAACGCCGCGUGGAGGAUGAAGGUUCUAGGAUUGUAAACUCCUUUUGUUAGAGAAGAUAAUGACGGUAUCUAACGAAUAACCACCGGAUAACACCGUGCCAGCAGCCGCGGUAAUACGGAGGGUGCAAGCGUUACUCGGAAUCACUGGGCGUAAAGGGCGCGUAGGCGGGAUAGCAAGUCAGAGGUGAAAUCCUAUGGCUUAACCAUAGAACUGCAUUUGAAACUGUUAUGCUAGAGUAUGGGUGAGGUAGGUGGAAUGCGUGGUGUAGGGGUAAAAUCCAUAGAGAUCAAGAGGAAUACUCAUUGCGAAGGCGACCUGCUAGAACAUAACUGACGCUGAUGCGCGAAAGCGUGGGGAGCAAACAGGAUUAGAUACCCUUGUAGUC